rnacentral:rRNA from 1 species
GGGUCAGUAGGUUGGUCGUGCCACCGGUACGUACUGGUCUCACUGAUUCCUCCUUCCUGAAGAACCGUAAUGCCAUUAAUUUGGUGUUGCGGGGAAACAGGACUGUUACUUUGAAAAAAUUAGAGUGUUUAAAGCAAGCUAACGCUUGAAUACAUUAGCAUGGAAUAAUGAAAUAGGACGAUCGAUCCUAUUUUGUCGGUUUCUAGGAUUGACAUA